GACGAACCGUGCAAACGUUAUUCGGAAUCACUGGGCUUAAAGCGCGCGCAGGCGGUUCUGUAAGUCCUGGGUGAAAUCGCCCGGCUCAACUGGGCGGGGGCCUGGGGGACUGCGGGACUGGAGGGGCCUAGAGGCCGGUGGAACUCCCGGUGUAGUGGUGAAAUGCGUAGAGAUCGGGAAGAACACCAGUGGCGAAGGCGGCCGGCUGGGGGCGCCCUGACGCUGAGGCGCGAGAGCGUGGGGAGCGAACCGG
rnacentral:rRNA from 1 species